rnacentral:misc_RNA from 1 species
AAGUCGUAACAAGGUUUCCGUAGGUGAACCUGCGGAAGGAUCAUUAACGAGUCUGACUUGGGUUGUCGCUGGUCCUCCGGGACAUGUGCACGCUCAAUGCUCAUCCACUCACCCCUGUGCACCUCCGUAGUUGUUUUUCAAAGGAUGUUGGAUGGCUUUGCGGCCGGAUAUCGUCUGGCGAGAGACACUACGUUUUUAUACACGCAUAAAAGUCUAGAAUGUAAUCUUUGCUAUAAACGCAUUAAAUACAACUUUCAACAACGGAUCUCUUGGCUCUC